GACGAACGCUGGCGGCGUGCUUAACACAUGCAAGUGGAGCGACGAACCGGGCUUCGGCCCGGGGCAAAGCCGCGAACGGGUGAGUAACACGUGGGUAACCUGCCCAUCAGAGGGGGAUAACACUUGGAAACAGGUGCUAAUACCGCAUAAUUCCUUUUACCGCAUGGUAAAAGGCUGAAAGGCGCUUCUGGUGUCACUGAUGGAUGGACCCGCGGUGCAUUAGCUAGUCGGUGGGGUAACGGCCUACCGAGGCGAUGAUGCAUAGCCGACCUGAGAGGGUGAUCGGCCACAUUGGGACUGAGACACGGCCCAAACUCCUACGGGAGGCAGCAGUAGGGAAUCUUCGGCAAUGGACGAAAGUCUGACCGAGCAACGCCGCGUGAGUGAAGAAGGUUUUCGGAUCGUAAAACUCUGUUGUUAGAGAAGAACAGGAGAAGUAGUAACUGGCUUCUUUUUGACGGUAUCUAACCAGAAAGCCACGGCUAACUACGUGCCAGCCGCCGCAGUAAAAC
rnacentral:rRNA from 1 species